ACAUGGUGGCAACGCCGUACAUUCAGCUGUUCGGUAACUUGUUCUGCGCGUAUAAAUUGUAUUAGUUUUAGUGUUUAAUAUAUUUAACGAUUUCAUCAUUAUUUUCACCAUAUAUUUCUAAAAUGUUGCGCAAUCUAACUCGUCGCUUUGAUUGCGCGCUCAGACUGCAGCGGCAAACAUAUCCACACGCAGUGCGCUUGCUUCAAACCACAGAUGUCAGCCGCGCGCUUUUUACACAAUACGCCUGCGAGAGUCGCUUGAACAAAAAGCAGCCCACACUGGCCACCGCCGCAGCCGGCAUCAGGAACCAUGCGACGCCCACAGCCAGUGAGGCGGACAAUGAGUAUGUGCCGUAUCGCACAGAGCUGGAGAGCGGCAGUCGCGCCAGUGCUGUAAUAGCGGCGAUACGCGAACGUUUUCGGCUCACCGAAGGCGAAGCGCAGCGCAUUCUGAGCGAUGAGCAAGUGCGUCGCAGCUAUCGCAAUCGCUGCCUGACAAAUGCGCUGGACAGGCUGCUGCUGGAGGGCGUGAGCAAGAAAAGCUUUUUGGAAUAUCCCUGGCUGUUGGGGCUCGAUCGGCAGCGUCUGGAACUUAAGCUGGAGCUGAUCAAAUCGAUGCACAUGCUCGACAUCAAUCACUUCGUGCCCUUUUUGCGUCUUACAGUGCCACGCCUACGCAAGCUGGUGGGCACCUUGAAUGCCGAGACCAACGAAUACCCGCAAAAGAAUCGCGUUUACUAUAUCAGCGAAAAGCUGGGCGUCAGCCCCGAGAUCGUCACAAAAUAUUUGUCGAAGCGACUCUUCAUACUGGAAAUGCCAUAUGAGAUGUUCGAGAAGAAUCUGGAGCACAUGAUCAACUAUAAUGUUUCACCCAUUAACAUACUGCGUGAUCUGUGGGCCUUUCGCUAUGCUCCCAAGGCUGUGGAGCUGCGCCUGGAGCGCGCCCAACGUGCGAAAAAGGAUAAGAUAAUGCCUUGGAUGGUGCGUUGCCCGGAACCUAUACUGCAACGCUCUCUAAAGCUUUCCCUGGAUGAGCUGCAGGUGCUGGGCGAAUUCUCCACCGUGGUGGAGUAUGUGGCGCAUCGCUUGGGCUUCAGUGUGAGCGAAACGAAGGCAAUUAUGGAUCGACAUCCGCAGGUGCACACAGUGCGCGUUACAAAGAUCAAAGAGGUCUUGGACUAUUUGCUAGACGUUGCGAAAUUCACACGCUUUGAAGUUGCGCAAGUACCGCGGAUUUUGUGCCACAGCCUAAAGACCACGCAGCAGCGCGUGGAGGAGCUGCAGUCGCUCGGCUGUCGACCCUCCACGCUGGUCAUCCUGUGUCGCAGCAGACGGGAAUAUGAAAAGUUCUUGCAGCAAUGGAACAGUCAGCAUGGUGCGCCACAACAGAUCAACAGCAGUUGAGCCCCAGCCAUCCCAGCCAGGCAUCUAGUUUCAUUCCAUUCAGCUGCCCACCCGGGCACAUUGCAACAAUAUUUCCUACUUCAUUUGUAAUCUUGCUGCAGGCAUUGGGUUUGCACCUUUGCGAAUUACCUGCAAGGCAAGGUAAUGCUGACCUACGAGCCACCCAACUGUGGCCGAGGGAGCGAAGAAGAAGGAAAAGUUUUCAUUCAUUCGCCCUAUUAGAGGUAGUCCAGCUGGCAAUUCAAUUAAAAGACUAUUUUCAUGUCAGCUCAGGACAGUUGCAAAUGGAAACGACAAAUUGAAUUAGGAAACAGAAACAUAGUGGAUAAAAGAACUACAAUUAAAAUCUUCAGAAAGCUUCUUAAGGAACCAAGACUGUACUACGAUAAAGUUGAAUAAAAGAAAGUCUAAUUAUGUUGGAGAUCAACAAUGAAUGCCUCAGGAAUUACAUACUUAAUUCUAAUAUACUACGAAUAAAGUUCACGUAAAAUGGAAAUUUGAAUUUAAGAACAUAAAGUUAUACGACAAAUUAUGAAUGAAAAAGUUUUAAUUUAUUUUUAUGGGCAUCAUAUCAUAUGGAUAUCAUACCAUUAAAUAAAGAAGAAUCAUCAAAAAUAA